rnacentral:misc_RNA from 1 species
UUGAACACAGAAAUGUACCAACAGAAUCGCUCUUCGACAUUUAAUAUAAUCAUAUUUAUUUCAAAUGUGUAUAAAUGUAAAAUGUGCCUGGACUACCUAAUGACGACUGCUAGCCACUAUGUUGUACUGUUGCAAUAUUUACUAAAACUGUUGAUCGGACAUAUGAACAGAGUUAUGGCCCUUGAACUUAGGAGAUACGAAAAUGUGUUGUGCCUGGUGAUUCCGUUUCCUUGGUAACCAGGCCUACAAGCACACCGAUAGGACCCGAUGCUGUUGAAACAGUUGGAUCUGGUAGAAUGACAGUUGCUGCUUCCCUCUGCACAUUCGUCGAUAUCUGGGGGAUUUUUUUAAAAACAGUAUUAUUAAAUUAUUAAUCCGUAAUUCGGUUUAAUGUGAUGAGCUCUAUAAAGUCUAAACUUCAUCAUUAUUUAAUUAUUUAAAAUAAUUAUUUGUAAGCUGGCAGACAAAAACAAUCGUGAAUAAUUGUAUCUGUUAUGUCAUUUUAAAAGCUGUUAUAAAAAGGUUGAAUGCUAAUUAAUCGAGGUGAAUGCCAGUUAUUACUAAAGUUUUACAUUCAAAGUGUAGAUGGAUGAUUGAGGAUUUGGUGGUUGCAGUUAUAGUUUGUUUUGUUUUGUUGCCACUUUUUGUGGUGUUUAUGUUUCUUUGUGUUUUUCUCUUCUUUUUCUUUUUCGUCUUAGGGUUUUUUCUGUGUUUUUUUUGUUUU